rnacentral:rRNA from 1 species
UACGAAGGGGGCUAGCGUUGCUCGGAAUCACUGGGCGUAAAGCGCACGUAGGCGGCUUCUUAAGUCAGGGGUGAAAUCCUGGAGCUCAACUCCAGAACUGCCUUUGAUACUGAGGAGCUUGAGUCCGGGAGAGGUGAGUGGAACUGCGAGUGUAGAGGUGAAAUUCGUAGAUAUUCGCAAGAACACCAGUGGCGAAGGCGGCUGACUGGUCCGGUUCUGACGCUGAGGCGCGAAAGCGUGGGGAGCAAACAGG